rnacentral:rRNA from 1 species
UACGGAGGGGGCAAGCGUUGUUCGGAAUUACUGGGCGUAAAGGGCGCGUAGGCGGCCGCCUAAGUCAGGCGUGAAAUCCCUCGGCUCAACCGGGGAACUGCGUCUGAUACUGGGUGGCUUGAAUCCGGGAGAGGGAUGCGGAAUUCCAGGUGUAGCGGUGAAAUGCGUAGAUAUCUGGAGGAACACCGGUGGCGAAGGCGGCAUCCUGGACCGGCAUUGACGCUGAGGCGCGAAAGCCAGGGGAGCAAACGGG